UACGUAGGGACCAAGCGUUGUUCGGAUUUACUGGGCGUAAAGGGCGCGUAGGCGGCGCGGUAAGUCACUUGUGAAAUCUCUGAGCUUAACUCAGAACGGCCAAGUGAUACUGCAGUGCUAGAGUGUGGAAGGGGCAAUCGGAAUUCUUGGUGUAGCGGUGAAAUGCGUAGAUAUCAAAAGGAACACCUGAGGUGAAGACGGGUUGCUGGGCCAACACUGACGCUGAGGCGCGAAAGCUAGGGGAGCAAACGGG
rnacentral:rRNA from 1 species